UUCCCACACCACGACUUUCCAUAUUCCAAUUUAGGGUUUUGUUCUGCUUUCGUCAACCAUUUGCACCGUCGCGUCUGUUCGUCGGCCGACAGUUCGAUCGCCGCUGCCGCUGUUUUGUUAUGUUGGAAGUGACAUUCCCUCGUGUUCAUAACCAAAAUUGUGAAUUUUGGAGUUCGGCUCGCCAAUAAUUGGUAUGAACUCGCCAAUACUUGGUAUCUUUCAUUGGAUAUAGUUUGUUCGAGAAAUUGAGAAACCUUGAGGUAAGAGAUUUUCUACCGGACUCAAUAAUAUAAUAAAAAUUAAGAUGUAUUGAUGGUAUGGACCGUAAUAUUAUAUCUUUUAGGGAUGACGCUCAUGAUGUAUGUUUGGAUGUGGACCUAAUGUUUAAUGUUUGCUGUGUUUGACGGUGAGAAAUUUAUAUAUAUGUGCAUGGAUUGAUGUGGACUUGUGGUUGAGUGUAUGUUGUGACUCAUAAGGACGUGGAAACGACUGAAUCUCGUAGAUGUUGCUAUAUAAAGUGUUAAUUAGUAGAUUGAUUGUUGUUUAGACUGAAUGUAUGAUCUACUCAUGUUAUGGUUGUGUGCUUGUUAACGGAAGAGACGUCAUGGUCGUGCCCUUGUAGACUGAGGAGGAGGUUAUGAUUAUUUAGUUUGUUAACUGAUGUAUUGAUGAUAUGUUUUUGACUGACUUUGGGCUAAACUAGAGUAAGACGAUUGUUUGGGGUUAAAUGAGGAGUUUAUGUGAUGAGACUGUUUCUGUGAACGAAGUUAAGAGUUUAUUUUGCCCUUAACGGGGCCCUUAACGGGACCCGUAGUUGGUCUCCUACUCAGUAUAUUUAUACUCACCCUUUUAUGUUUAACUUUUUCAGGCAAAGGUUGAGGGUGACAAACUGACGAAGGGCCGGUGAUUGCCAUAGGGAAUAUGUUAUUUUUGCUUCCGCUUUAUGUUUUUUAUCUUUAAAACAUUGUGAUGGAACUAAGCUUACGAACUAUUAUUUUGGUAAAAAGUACUUUUAAAGUUUUAAAAUAUUUGAAAUCGGGUCCGACUUAAAUUUGUUUUUCCUCGAUUGUAUAUUUUCAAAAGUCUUAUAUUUCAUUUUGUAUCAAUCAAGGUCUUUUGUCAAAAAUUAAUGACUUCGACUUAGUUAGAAAAGUUGGGUCGUUACAAGACGAAAAUGCGGUGGAGAAGACGCGCGAACGAAGAUGAGGCACAAUGAUCGCAACAGUGGCUGCUUGAUCGUGAGGGGUGCACAAAAAGGAGGUGGUCGGAGAUGGUGGACGUUGGCAUAAACAUUGAAGAAACGGAGAUGAUUGGCGAUCAGACAAGAUUGUGAUGGGCGAUGACUCUAGGAUUUUUUUGGAGGAAGAGGAUGAUGAGUAGUGUUGUUCACACAUAUUGAGGAGUAUAUAUUCAUAUUAUUAUUAUUAUUUUCUUUUCCAAAAUAACAAAAAUCUCUCUUCAUUCAA